GAAGGAAGGAAGGAAGGAAGGAAGGAAGGAAGGAAGGAAGGAAGGAAGGAAGGAAGGAAGGGAAAAAGAGAAAAAGAAAAAGAAAAAAAGAGAGGAAGAGAGGAAGAGGAAAAGAAAAACACAUUAAUUUAUAGUUCAAGCCACUUUGAAACAGGGUAUGUCUCUACCUUUUUACUUCAUUAUGAGGGAUGAAGAUUAACUAAUCAUUUCUGCAGAAGCCACUGGUUGCCUAGGGUUCCAUAAUCAUGGCCUGGUUAUAUUCAGUACACACAACAAAGAGACAGUUACAGCUAACAUGUAGCUAAUUGAGCAAGGAUGAGAGAGUAGGAAAAAAAAAUGAUUCAAAGGGCAAAAAUGUGAUAUGUUUUACAAAAUAAACCACUAAAUAAUUUUUUCUAUAAGAAAAAGAUAAAAUGCCAUCUGCAGUCAAGAUAAUAAAACAUUGUUAAAAUCUCUUUGUCUAGGUAAAGGCAAGUAUUAAACAGUGAAAAGGAAUACGUAACAAACAAGGAAAAGAGAGCAACUGAUAACAGUUAACACAGAACAGAAAUUAUAGAGUGUAGAAAAUCACUUGGAAAAAUCAAAACCAUUACAGAAAAAUCCAUGUCUGGAAUGGAUGGAACACACAAUUUUACAGGAUAGGAGCAAGACUCCAGAGCAAAGCUGUUCCUGACCCUGGGCAUCCCUACACCAGCAAGACCUUGUGCCCUGUGUCAGAUCUUCUGGGAGAGCCGGACUGCAUGGACUCAGGGCUGCAGCCUUUAAGAGGAAGAAGAUGGAUGACAGACUUCUCCCUGCUACCCCACCAGAGGCCAUGCAAGUGGAAAGAACCUUCCCCUAGCCCCAGGCUGACAGAGCUAUCAGAGGGAAUCUUUGCAAAUUCAGCACAUACCAAACAAUGGGGAUUUUCCUCUGUGUGAUGAGACAUACUCCUGAUCACAGCCCUGGCAAGUCAGUUCCAUUCUGCUGCUUUCAUUCUGGCCAGCUGGUAUCAGCCUCCUGCAUCUCCAAGUCUUAUGAGUUUGACCCUUUUCCUGUGGAAAUAGGUAUGACAAAAAUACCUGUCAUUGUGAAGGACAACAGAAUAUAACUUGUUUUUGCGAGAAAUACCAGGGUCACUCUAAGCUCAGAAAUACUGUGGCAGCUCCAGUAAAACCAGCAAAGUAAAUAUAGACACAAGAUAAACUAUCUGGUCUUCCCUUUGCCUGUGACCUCUAUUACUUUCCCUGUUUCUCUGACUAUAACCUCAGUAAGUGUAUUUUUGAUCCUUCAGUUAAUAUGAUUAUCAGGCUUCACACUGCCACUGCUCUCAAAUUUUCCAGAUGGCAUUUCAUCUGGAAAGUUACAACCCUGUUCUGCUUGUUAUUUAUUUAACAACUGUGCUUUUGACUAAUACAGAAUACUCUCAGUAACAAAUCUAUAUUCAUCAAAGUUCAGAUAUUCAGUGUUAGCAAUUUAUUUUGAUUUUGUCACCAUUUACACAAAGUUAUUUACCUACCCUUCUAGCAUUUUUCAAAGUACUCUGUUGCUUUAAUACACACUUACUAAAAUACAAACUGUACUUAAAGCCAUCCUCUGGAGGAGUCCCCGUCCUGAAUGAAGUUCUGUGGCACAACUGAACUACAUGAAAUGACAGUGGCAGUCUCCUAAGGGUGAAUUUACCUCUGUGUUAAUGAACGAAUAGAAUAGACAUACGGAGUCUCAGUGAGAUAGUCCUUAUGCUCCCUUAGGAAAGUUGAGGUGCUACGUUGAUAAUUGAACACUGGUAAAAGACAGAUUAUUUUUCUUAAACCCACGAUUUUGCAGUAGGGAUUCAGUCCAUCUUCCAGUGGAAUGUCUGAAAAAGUUUCAUAGACACCAGAACUGAUAUUGCCUGUCACUAUGCAAACCGAAAACCGCUUCGUCACUCUAUAAAUGAAAGCUCCAGCCACACUAUAGCAAGCACCAAUGCAAGUGAAUUUAGGCACAAAUGUAACUACCAGAUUUAAGCUAAAUUUUGAGAGACCAGAUCAAGAAGGGUGCAAGCUCCAAAGGCAACAACUUGAAACUCUAACUUAGCUCUAACUCCUUUCUUCACCUUCUUUUCUCUGCGUAGUGUCAUUUUUAACAAAAUGUGCCAAAUUACAAGUCAUAAAAGCCCAAGUAUGUAAGCUGCAAAUCUGGUGCUUUCCACAAGGCCAGAAGUGUCAUGAAAGAAAAACGCCAUCCAUAAUAUGGGACUGUUUGGAAUCAGAUUAGAGAGACCUAGAAUUCGUCAGCAACUUCUGCCCAUAAGGUCAAAUUAUGAAGUCUGUACUUACUACAUAUAAACACACUCCAUUUCCAGAUUCUGCCCCCCACAGACACAGCAUAAUCUAUGACGUCCAUCAGUCAUCAGCUAGUUUAUAUCAGACUCCUACUAUACCUACAUAAAUAUGUUGAAUAUUUGGAAUAAUACAUUCACAAAGCAAUGAUCAUAUUUAUUUAUAUUUUACAAAGAGAAAAAAAAAUGUGAGAGAGUAAAGAUAGGCUGCCUUCAUAGCCAUUACAGGGAAAGUGUGGAGAAAUCACCAGAAACCCCCACCAGGGGAGAGAUAUGGAGCUUUUGGAAAGAGUCCAGAAGAAGGCCAUGAAGAUGAUCCAAGGGCUCCGGCAUGAAGAUCUAUGAAGAUAGGCUGAAGAGACUGAGCUUGUUCAGCCUGGAAAAGAGGAGGCUAUGGGAAAACCUCAUUGCAGCCUUCCCAUAUUUAAAGGGAGAUUGAAACAGGAGGAAAAACUACUUUUUACACAAGUAGAUAGUUAUAGAAUGAAGGGGAAUGGUUUUAAACUAAAGGAAGAGAGGCUUACAGUGGAUGUCAGGGAGAAGUUUUUACUGGGAGAGUGGUGAGGUGCUGGGACAGGCUUCCCAGAGAGGUUGUGGAUGCCCCAUUGCUGGAGGUAUUUAAGGCCAGGUUGGAUGGGGCCCUGGGCAAUCUGAUCUCAUGCUUAAUUUAGCAGCUGGCAACCCUGCCUGUAGCAGUGGGGUUGGAACUUUAUGAUCCUUGAGGUCCCUUCCAACCUAAGCCAUUCUAUGAUUCUAAACAUGAAGAGAGCUAAAUAUUCUCUAGAUAAAAGAAAGGCAGAGAAGGAAUGACUAUCUGAAGGGCAGCCCCAUGUGCAGAAGCUGGGAAUGAAUACCCACAGGGCCCAGACAUGGGGUCACCAACCUCAAGGUUGCUGCCAUGUCAGGACCUGCGUGGGCAGCUGGCCAAUGCGAUACAGGAGGUUCCUCCACUUCCUUUCUUUGGUCACCAACCUGCCAUGAGGUUUGAAUGGCUUCUAUCUCUAAUGGGGACCUGGAGGAAAGACAUUCAUCCUAUCACAAGCCUCCUGAGCCAUCUCAACUCCAACACAGCAGUUUUUUAAAAAUUCUUAAGCUUACUUCACACAGAUAUAAAUAAUUAUACAGACAAUACAAGUCAAAGAAGAGUCAGGCACUAAAUACUGAUAGAAAGCCUUAUUCCUCCUUUCUUCAGUGAAAACUCUAGAUCUCUGUUCUGCAUUAUUCAUUCAGUAAUCCACCUCUGUGAUACACAUGUAAGAGCUGUUUCAACAAUUUAUGAGCUUUAGUGAUGGCUGAAUAAUCACAUUUUAUAGUCUGAUACAGAUAUCAGAAACACCUGAUACAAAAAAGAUUGUGGUAGGUUAUUUCAUGAAAGGCUAAUGCAUCAAAAAGUCCAAGUUGGAAGGCAUUGGAAGGAGUUAAGGGAAAUUCUUUCUGCUCUUACAUUAUCUAUCAUUACAUCAGUAACACAGUCCUUGAGGUUUGCAAUUGCCCAGC
ensembl:lncRNA